GACGAACGCUGGCGGCGUGCUUAACACAUGCAAGUCGAACGGAAAGGCCCUGCUUGCAGGGUACUCGAGUGGCGAACGGGUGAGUAACACGUGGGUGAUCUGCCCUUCACUUCGGGAUAAGCCUGGGAAACUGGGUCUAAUAUCGGAUAGGAGCCAUUUUUAGUGUGAUGGUUGGAAAGUUUUUUCGGUGUAGGAUGAGCUUGCGGCCUCUCAGCUUGUUGGUGGGGUAAUGGCCUACCAAGGCGGCGACGGGUAGCCGGCCUGGGAGGGUGGACGGGCACAGUGGGACUGGGAUACGGCCCAGACUCCUACGGGAGGCAGCAGUAGGGAAUAUUGAACAAUGGGCGCAAGCCUGAUGCAGCGACGCCGCGUGGGGGAGGACGGCAUUCGGGUUGUAAACGCCUUUCGCUAGGGACGAAGCUUUUUGUGACGGUACCUAGAGAAGAAGCACCGGCUAACUACGUG
rnacentral:rRNA from 1 species